rnacentral:rRNA from 1 species
UACAGAGGGUGCAAGCGUUGUUCGGAAUUAUUGGGCGUAAAGCGCGUGUAGGCGGCUUUGCAAGUCGGGUGUGAAAUCCCUCGGCUCAACCGAGGAAGUGCGCCCGAAACUGCAGAGCUUGAGUACUGGAGAGGAUGGCGGAAUUCCCCAAGUAGAGGUGAAAUUCGUAGAUAUGGGGAGGAACACCGGUGGCGAAGGCGACCAUCUGGACAGAUACUGACGCUGAGACGCGAAAGCGUGGGGAGCAAACAGG